rnacentral:rRNA from 1 species
GACGAACGCUGGCGGCGCGCCUAACACAUGCAAGUCGAACGAGUGGAUGGUCUUCGGACCUGAAGCUAGUGGCGGACGGGUGAGUAACACGUGAGGAACCUGCCUUUCAGAGUGGGAUACCGUUUGGAAACGAACGUUAAUACCGCAUAAUGUAUAUUGAUCGCAUGGUCGAUAUACCAAAGAUUUAUCGCUGAGAGAUGGCCUCGCGUCUGAUUAGAUAGUUGGUGAGGUAACGGCCCACCAAGUCUACGAUCAGUAGCCGGACUGAGAGGUUGAUCGGCCACAUUGGGACUGAGACACGGCUCAG